GUGGUGUGUUGAUUGAGAAUUCACCCUGGUGACAUUUUGAUGUGUAUAUUCAUAUAUUUGGAAUAUUUUCCAGCAAUGUCAACCCGAGUGUCACCUUGAUAGAAGCUCCCUGGAGGCACAGACAGGAAUCUCAAACUGUGUUGUUAUUCAGCUGAGACUAAAAAAAUGCUUUAGUGACAACACGUCUCUUGGGAGCUACAAAUGGAAGCUGUAAUGUCGGAACAAAGACUCAACUUGGUUCUCAUCCACAGCCAGAAGCUCAUCCUUCCCUGAGUUUGUCUUCAACAAGCUGAGCUGGAAAUGUCUUCACAUCAGGGACGUCAUCUGAGUACAUGGCAAAGGUGCGUCAUUGGAUAUUUGGAUAAUUCUGGGAUAUGGCUGUGGCGAACUCCUCCUUUGUCCGGCGAUGCCUCCUCCUGACAAACCAACACACUUCUUCCGUCCAACAAGCAGUGACAGAGCCCAUUGCCAGCGUUACACCAAAGCUAUCACCAACCCAGUCAAUCACAGCAAAACAUCUCUGGGAAACACACUCUGUCAACUCAUUCCUGCAAGACAUUGCCUCAAUCAGAGUGGCUUCCAGCACUGCAAAGGACAAGGUCAAGCAUGGGGAGUCAACUCUGUCCCACUACAGAGAUCUGUGCCGACUAUCCUCCAUUUGCUCUUGGUAGACCUCCUAUCUCCAUUCCUGCUCCAGGAGAUUAUUCCAGGUACGAUCCAACUGGUUACAGUAUUAGUUGUUUGGCAUAAUACCAUUCAUAAUGUGACCACCUUGGCAAGUUGUUCAGGGCAGCAGAGCUCAACCUGCAUGGCUUGCGACCCAGGACGUGGCCAAAGUGGACAUACAGUGGUGUGGUUUGAAGAACAGCCGACACCCACAUUUAUUAGCGUGUGUGCACUUGUACCUCCCCAUGUUCCUCAGGAACAUGUAGCCCAGCAGGUGGCUAAGAUGGGACCUGGGUUUUUGGGCCUUUCGAGAGAGGAGGAAUCUUCCUCGGGUGAGCUUCAAUCCCAUGUUCUAUGUUGACACCAUAGGGUUGUCUCGGGGUGUGCCAGGCAAGCUUCAAGCUUGUAAUCAAGUGGUGACAGGCUUUGAAUUGUUUUGUUAUGGUGGAUCACAAGCAAUGAAAUGUAAAUUGGAUGGAUUACAAUCACUACAAUGAGCAAAGGUUGUUCAAAAUACCAGGAAUGCUGUUAGGGGUGUAGCAGAGAAACUGGACGCUUCUCUUAUAGUCUAAUGGCUAGAGUUCAUGAGUUCACUUAUUCAUGGAAUGGGUGAGUUAUAGUUACCUUCUUUAGCUGUUUGUGCUCAAAAUAACUUGAAAAGUUCGGAAUGGAUUUGGAUGACAUUUUCAGGAAAUUGAUGGUUAAAUAGUGCAACAAAUCAGCUUCGUGUCAGGCACACUGUGUUAUAGGAAGGGACCAGUCCAGCUGAGACGAUGCCAACCUGGGGGCAGUCGUCGAGGAAGGAGCAGUUCCAGAGCGUCCAGGUGACAGGUGGGAAAAAGAUUGGAGGACCAUCUACAUCCUGUGACAGGCCAGGACACCAAAUGUACCGAGUUUCCAUGAGAAAAGCCCCUAAUCGCAAAGAGUCCCACCAGAUGACAUUGUGCUGUUGGAAGAAAGGGACUGAAGAUGGGCAACUCCGUUCUUACAGAGACCCAAUAAUCCUCUGGACGGUGAUAAUUCACACACAUCCUUCCCCCACCCCCAAAUAGGAUGUGUGACACCCUGAUUGACUCCAGGUAUCUGCACUCACAGCCCUUCCCCUUCCAUCGACAUUCCCCAAUCCCCAUUCCUUUUUCCCCAUGCCUCAUCAACGCCAUCGGUCAUUGGAGGACAAUUCAACUGAGAAGGAAGCGAAACGGAAGCCAAGAAUGCUACAGCCUCACAUGGUCCAUUUCCCCGUUUCCCCUCACACCACAAUCUUGACCCACUGAACACUGCCCUCUCAUACAUUGCCCUGUUUCAGAAACAUUGGUGAAAUGUUUGAAACAUGGAAUGUUUUUCAAAAAACAUUUGGAUGUCCAGGGUUAUUUGGGUUAUCAUGUGUCUCUUUCAUCGUAGUUAAGCUACGGCCUCCAAAUUUAUAAUUGGCUUCCUCAAAUUAAACUUCAUUAUUGACUAUAGUUUUUUCCUCUAAUGGGAAUAAAAUUAAUGGGUUUCACUGGUUUAUGUUUAAUGUUAGUCCUAUUAGAAACAGAGGCACUUAUCUGAACAUAUUCCAUAUGUGAGGUUGUAGUGAUUUCAUACAGCAUACAGCAUUUCAUACAAAAUACAGUUUCAUACAGCAGGGAGAAUUGUGUAACUGAACUGUUUUCUUGUAAAUAUUUCCUUCUGCUUUUCUCCUGCUUCUUUUUCUUUCUGCUUGGUCAGUCUAAAUAUAUAAAAAUGUCUUUAAUGACAAUGACAAUCAUGUUUAUAGUUAUCAGGAUUUAUGAUCAUUUACACGAUCAAAGGGGAAACUGUGAUGGAAAUCUUAUAUUUUAGCAUUAGGUCAGUUGAUUUGAGCAAAUGCAGUAUUUCUGCUAAUGUGCUAAUUAAGGUAAGACUGAUUUCCUACCAGAACAACCUAGGCUAUGUUGGGACUAUCUGCUUAUGGCUUGAGUCCCUCUGUCUCCAAAAACAGUUUUUCCAAUGACGUUUCCAUGUUAAGUGGUUCUGAUUAAUCCGGGAUAUGUCCUUGCACCGAGAUAAGUCCUGACAAUGAUUGUAUUAUGAUGCUUCUGUCCUGUGCUUUGG